rnacentral:rRNA from 1 species
UACGGAGGGUGCGAGCGUUGUCCGGAAUCACUGGGCGUAAAGGGCGCGUAGGCGGCCUGAUAAGUAGGGGGGUGAAAUCCUGCGGCUUAACCGCAGGGGCUGCCUUCUAAACUGUCAGGCUCGAGCACAGUAGAGGCAGGUGGAAUUCCCGGUGUAGCGGUGGAAUGCGUAGAGAUCGGGGAAGAACAUCAGUGGCGAAGGCGGCCUGCUGGGCUGUUGCUGGACGCUGAGGCGCGACAGCGUGGGGGAGCAAACAGGG